CAUCGAUGAAGAACGCAGCAAAGCGCGAUAGGUAGUGUGAAUUGCAGAAUUCCGUGAAUCAUCGAAUUUUUGAACGCAUAUUGCGCCCGAGUCUUCGGAUUUGGGCAUGUCUGCCUCAGCGUCG
rnacentral:rRNA from 1 species